AAGAAGCUGCAGAUCCUUUCUUAAGAGUUGGUUAUAACAGUUUGGGUGCCUUUGCCACCAUUAAUCAUCUUCACUUCCAGGCAUAUUAUCUGUUCGUGACUUUCCCAUUUGAGAAAGCACCAACUCGCAGAAUAAUGACCAGGAAAGGAUUGCAGGGUGCUGAUUUGGUGGUCUCUGAGCUAUUGGAUUAUCCUGUUCGAGGUCUUGUAUUUGAAGGUGGAAGUGUACUGCGUGGCUCAUCUGAUGCUGUUGCAAGUUCAUGCAUUUACCUCCAAUAGAAUAACAUUCCUUUUAAUGUUCUAAUUGCUGAUUGUGGGAGGAAAAUCUUUUUGCUCCCUCAGAAUAUGUACAGUGUUAUGCGGAGAAACAAACACUUGGAGAAGUAAGCCUCGAGGUCCUGGAAACUCAAGUCAAUCCUGCUGUUUGGGAGAUAAGUGGACAUAUGGUACUCAAGAGGAGAAAAGAUUACGAUGAUGCCUUAGAGGACUAUGCAUGGAAACUUCUUUCUGAAGUGUCCCUGUCAGGGGUGAGGUUUGAAAGUGUGACGGCAUGUGUUUCCGAAGCAGCUGGCUUGCAGGUGGAAGUGGAUAAGUACAACAUAGACCAAAAAGAAUGUAUCUAUGACUCCCAAGCACCUGGAGUUGCCUCACAUCUGCAACGAGAUUGCCCGGCAAUCCAUUGAAGGAUUAGGCUACUCUUCUGACAAUUUAGGUUUUUUUUUAAAAAUGUUUUUCUCCAUUCUUUAGCGUUUAUGGGUUGUAGUAUGAGAUUCAGCAGGUCAUUGUGAAGAAUAGUUACAUAUAGUCAUAGGCAAAAAUCUUGUUCCUCUGGAGGAUGGAUCUUAUUAUAUGAUCUGCAUAUCCCUUGUUUUGAUAUAUCUGCUCUAUAGCUUGUUGCUUGACGCUCAUUCAGGCUUCAGGCUUAGAGAUUGCCCGAGUUGAUACUGUGUUUUCCAUGAGCUGUUUAGCAGGUUAAUGAGAUGUGUAUAUAUAUUUAUUUGUGAA